CUUUUGCCUGUGCAGUUAACUUAAGUCACAGACUAAGGGUGAAACUGAAGGAGUCAUCUUAUGUACUUCCAGCUUCUGGGGCAUCAAUUUUUAAAUGCCUAAAUGCUGAAGGAACCUAGGAAGAGAAAAAGGUGUGAAUGGCCACUUGCCAGCUGCUGAGAGGAAACAUGUGCUCCUCUUGCUGAUGUGAAGCUUGAGGACUUCAAAAGGAAGAUCACUCCUAACAUGGAGGUAACCAGUGUCUCACAUCUGGCCAUCCACUAUCAUACCUCAGAUAUGGCAGCCCUCCCUGCUUGUUCUGAACAGAGACUUCCAUUUCUGUUAGUAGAAAACUUUCCACAACGUCAGUUGUGUGAUAACAUCAUUAUCUUUCACCAACAAUAAAAGGUUUGAUGAAGCUGUUAUAAUUUAUAAGAAAUCUGCUGGUUAUUCCUCCACAUCUAAUUUAUUAUUAAUAUAUGAGGAAAUGAGUAACUACGUAUCUUGUCAAACCUGACUUUGUAAAAAAUAAAAAUAAAUUACUUAAAACUUAGCAAAGAAUUUUAGACUUUAUUUAAUAUUGUAAAAAAUAAUAAUAAUAAUAACAGAAGGAAGCAAAUCACAUGAUUUAGUUAGGCCCUUCCUGAUGACAUUCUGCUUUACUUUCC
rnacentral:lncRNA from 1 species